AUUGAACGCUGGCGGCAUGCUUUACACAUGCAAGUCGAACGGUAACAGCACUUCGGUGGCUGACGAGUGGCGAACGGGUGAGUAAUACAUCGGAACGUGCCUAGUAGUGGGGGAUAACUACUCGAAAGAGUAGCUAAUACCGCAUGAGAUCUAAGGAUGAAAGCAGGGGACCUUCGGGCCUUGCGCUACUAGAGCGGCUGAUGGCAGAGUAGGUAGUUGGUGGGAUAAAAGCUUACCAAGUCGACGAUCUGUAGCUGGUGUGAGAGGAGGACCAGCCACAUUGGGACGUAGCCACCGCCCAGACUCCUACGGGAGGCAGCAGUGGGGAAUUUUGGACAAUGGGCGCAAGCCUGAUCCAGCAAUGCCGCGUGCAGGAUGAAGGCCUUCGGGUUGUAAACUGCUUUUGUACGGAACGAAAAGCCCUCUUCUAAUACAGGAGGGUCAUGACGGUACCGUAAGAAUAAGCACCGGCUAACUACGUG
rnacentral:rRNA from 1 species